GAAAAGCUUUCGGCUGCAGCAAAUGCAGACACCACAAGGAGGAGAAAAAAAGAGACCACCACACAAGCUACUUACCUUUAGAAGGCCUCAGGAGAACAGAUGAUGAGCAACUGGCUGCUGCACAGUACUUCAACUCAGACCUGCCACCUGUAAUAAAAUCAUGAAAAAUAUUCAGGUAUAUGAUUACUGAGAUUCUAACAGAGCAUUUUUGUGAGGCAUUUUUUAUGCAUUAAAAUAGUUUUUUCCAUUACUACCAAUAGCCACUGAGCUGGAGAAAAAGA
ensembl:lncRNA